ACGUAACUUAAUCCACCCUAGGGUGGUUGGUGCCUUCCUCACAUUUAAAGGGUGCUAUCCAAAAUAGACACAAAAGGGCGAUGUUUUUCAGUGUUUUAUCAAUUUGACUCAUUAUUCAUACCACUAGAUUGGAUAGUCUUCAUAUUGCAGGGCACUUAUAUGCUUACACCUUAUGAUAGGGUAGCCAGAUCCCCAAUCCAAUUCGUGCUUGUUGAAAAGGUCUUUUGAUUACCUAUCCAACGAUAUGUCGCAUGAGAGAUCCGGACAACGGUUUCAUCAAAAUAUCUGAGAUCCGGCCUCCAAAAAGUGCAUAAAUGACACUUAAGUGCUUAUAACUUUUGAUAGGGUUGUCAGAUCUUCAAUGUCUUGGACGCGUUGGAAAGGUCUUUCAAAUACCUUUCUGAAAAUGUAUAACAUGACA